AAUCUGGCACAAGGGACGAAAGGCUGAUGGAGCAAGGCCGCGUGAGUGAAGAAGGAUUUCGGAUCGUAAAACUCUUUUGUAAGGGAAGAACAAGUACAGUAGUAACUGGCUGUCACUUGACGGUACCUUAUUAGAAAGCAACGACUAACUACGUUUCAGCAGCCGCGGUAAUACGUAGGUGGCAAGCGUUGUCCGGAAUUAUUGGGCGUAAAGCGCGCGCAGGCGGUCCUUUAAGUCUGAUGUGAAAGCCCACGGCUCAACCGUGGAGGGUCAUUGGAAACUGGGGGACUUGAGUGCAGAAGAGGAAAGUGGAAUUCCAAGUGUAGCGGUGAAAUGCGUAGAGAUUUGGAGGAACACCAGUGGCGAAGGCGACUUUCUGGUCUGUAACUGACGCUGAGGCGCGAAAGCGUGGGGAGCAAACA
rnacentral:rRNA from 1 species